ACCUGGGUAGCUCAGUCGGUUGGGCAUCUGACUUUGGCUCAGGUCAUGAUCUCAUGGCUCGUAGGUUCGAGCCCUGUGUCGGGCU
rnacentral:tRNA from 1 species